UACGUAGGGUGCGAGCGUUGUCCGGAAUUAUUGGGCGUAAAGAGCUCGUAGGCGGUUUGUUGCGUCUAUCGUGAAAACCUGCGGCUUAACUGUGGGCUUGCGGUGGAUACGGGCAGACUUGAGUUCGGUAGGGGAGACUGGAAUUCCUGGUGUAGCGGUGAAAUGCGCAGAUAUCAGGAGGAACACCGGUGGCGAAGGCGGGUCUCUGGGCCGAUACUGACGCUGAGGAGCGAAAGCAUGGGGAGCGAACAGG
rnacentral:rRNA from 1 species